CUGACUGGGAGUCCUUUUUAGUUGGAAUUAGGAUUUUUUAAAAAAUUUAGAAGGGCAAAGUGGGAAAAAAAGAAAGACUUUCUUCUUCCUCUGAAACCCUAAUUCUUCUACCAUUACCCAAACCCCAACUGCCGACCACCGACCACCGUCCAUCAUCUUCUUCCUUGCAUUGUCCUGCAGGUACCUGCUUGUCACUGCUUGAUUGGCAGAAUCCCCAACCGCCGUUUCGACCUCCUCAUCAUAAUCGCUC
rnacentral:lncRNA from 1 species